GCGUGUCCUGUCGGCCGCUGCGCCGCUCUC
rnacentral:sRNA from 1 species